GGUGAAGCCAAGCUUGCUUGGUGGAUCAGUGGCGAACGGGUGAGUAACACGUGAGCAACCUGCCCUGGACUCUGGGAUAAGCGCUGGAAACGGCGUCUAAUACUGGAUAUGAGCNNCNAUCGCAUGGUGGGGGUUGGAAAGAUUUUUUGGUCUGGGAUGGGCUCGCGGCCUAUCAGCUUGUUGGUGAGGUAAUGGCUCACCAAGGCGUCGACGGGUAGCCGGCCUGAGAGGGUGACCGGCCACACUGGGACUGAGACACGGCCCAGACUCCUACGGGAGGCAGCAGUGGGGAAUAUUGCACAAUGGGCGGAAGCCUGAUGCAGCAACGCCGCGUGAGGGAUGACGGCCUUCGGGUUGUAAACCUCUUUUANCANGGAAGAAGCGAGAGUGACGGUACCUGCANAAAAAGCGCCGGCUAACUACGUGCCAGCAGCCGCGGUAAUACGUAGGGCGCAAGCGUUAUCCGGAAUUAUUGGGCGUAAAGAGCUCGUAGGCGGUUUGUCGCGUCUGCUGUGAAAUCCCGAGGCUCAACCUCGGGCCUGCAGUGGGUACGGGCAGACUANAGUGCGGUAGGGGAGAUUGGAAUUCCUGGUGUAGCGGUGGAAUGCGCANAUAUCAGGAGGAACACCGAUGGCGAAUGCAGAUCUCUGGGCCGUAACUGACGCUGANGAGCGAAA
rnacentral:rRNA from 1 species